AGAACUUCAAGUUUUAAGCCAAACGAUCAAUGUCACGCACAUUUAUAUGUCAUGGUUCAAGAUAAUGUAUCCAUUUCUUGCACAGAGGUGCAUGUUGUUAUGCCAAACAAUAUUGUCAAAGAUGUUUACAUAUGUUUGGCUUAUUUUUUUAUUUUUUUUACUUUUCAAAUGCAAAAGAAUAAUAUUUAGUCCAUCAGUGGCGGGUCUUUUUGCCCUGCCCGCCACUUGACGUUCUGGACACACCUAUAAAAAUCAGUUCAUCUCCCCAAUCCUCCCCAGCCGCCG
rnacentral:lncRNA from 1 species